rnacentral:rRNA from 1 species
CGCUGGCGGCGUGCCUAACACAUGCAAGUCGAACGAGGUCCAUCCUUCGGGAGAAGACCUAGUGGCGAACGGGUGAGUAACACGUGAAGAACCUGCCCCGAAGACCGGGAUAACCCUCCGAAAGGAGAGCUAAUACCGGAUACCCCCACCGAACCGCAUGGUUUGGUGAGGAAAUGGAUUCCGCUUCGGGAGGGCUUCGCGGCCUAUCAGCUAGUUGGUGGGGUAACGGCCCACCAAGGCAUCGACGGGUAGCUGGUCUGAGAGGACGAUCAGCCACACUGGGACUGAGACACGGCCCAGACUCCUACGGGAGGCAGCAGUGGGAAUCUUGCGCAAUGGGCGAAAGCCUGACGCAGCAACGCCGCGUGGGGAUGAAGGCUCUCGGGUUGUAAACCCCUUUCAGCAGGGACGAAUCAAGACGGUACCUGCAGAAGAAGCCCCGGCUAACUACGUG